UCUAGUUGCAAUUCUCUGUUUGUCCCUGGGCUCUGGGCUGGGCAAGGGGGGGAGUGGUAAGGGGGAGGGUCGGGGAGGGGCUAAAAGGGGGGUAUCCCUUCACCCUCCCAUGCUCCCUCUCAGCCUUAGUGGGGGCCAGUGUGCCGUCCCAGAAGAGGUGGCGAGAGUGUUGUCUGCUGGGGGACACCAGAGAGGGCACGAAUUGGGGGGAAGCUGACGUCGCCAGAGACCCAGGGUCCUCUCCAUCCAGCUCCCAGUCCGGCCGGCCCGCUGGCCACUCCCUCAGUAGCGCCCACUCUGGCCGGGGCAGCCUGUGGGCUGGCAGCCUGGCCUUGCACUGCCUCGCCCCCCCCCCCCCGCCCCACACACACACAGGGGAAAGUGCGCUGGAGUCCUGCUUCCUGAGCUCUCUUUGGACCAGCCGCCUUGGCGGCCCUGCCACCCUGCCCACCCCCGCCCCCCUCCCCGACGGAGUUUUAACGCUUCUUGGGACCAUUUGAAAGAAGGAUUAAACUUCUGAGUGGAUAAGAGCCCUGAGGACCUCAGCGGGAGCAGAAACUUUGCUCCGAAACUGUCAGGCAAGCUGACUUUGCUACACAGAUGGAAGCCUCGGGGCUGGAAGACGAGGAGCAUAAUGAGAGAUGAACCAACUUCUUUCCUGUAUCAAACACGAUUAUAUUUUUAUACUCCCCAAACCCUUCCCCAUCUGACCCACCUCCAGGCCAAGGUCAGCCUACCUCUGCCCACAGGUGUGAGCUGCUGGUGCCCCACCCCAGGCUGGAGUCUGCCCUCCUCCAGUGAACAAGGGCCUGCAGGAGCUCCCCUUGAUGCACAGGGGGUGAAGAGGGUUAGGCCAGGGGUGCCAGAUUAGAGCUUCAAGCUAUUGAACAAACCAUGUUGAUUUCCUUAACCCUGGUGCACUCAGGGAGGCUGUUUCCAGAUCUGCUCAGCAGAGCAGGGAGGCCACUCACUGAGGAUCUUGGAGAGGACAUAGACUGUGUCCCCAGAGUUCUGUCUUGCCCUACCUAGCCUGGCCCCUUGCAGGAGUGGGAGAAGGGAGGGGAUACUCGGUUCCCUUUGCAGGAGGCGGGAUGGCAGUGGGUAGAGCUAACAGCACCCUGAAGCCGUUGCUGGGUGCUGGGCGCUGGGUUCUGGGAGCUGGGAGCAGGCUUGCCUCCUGCCCAGGGCCUCUGCUCUGCUCAGCCUGCUAUUAUGUCUUUCUCUCUUUCUGGGGGAAGGUGGACACAGGGAAAGGAAAGCAAUGUUUUCCCGCAGCCCCUGCCUCUUGUUCGCACUCCCGGCAAACCUCCAGGAACCUCCAGCCCUGCUUGUCCAGCGUCUGUGUGGCUGGAGGAAGGGCAGAUGCUAUGUGUUUGCUCAUCGAUCCAUUCUGAGGGCAUCUGGGGGUCAAAAUCGAGAUCGGAUUGCUCCAACUGGUAUAAAAUUAGCAUUUCUUAUCACACCAAAGGCCCCGGCUCCUCACAGCAAGGAAUCAGAGGCCUCCAUUCGUCCUACACCUUUCUCAACCCUUCUCAACCCAGCAGAGACAGAAAGGCUUGUUGACACACGGGGCUGCAAGGGGGCUCCAUCUACAAAACAACAGCUCCCACUGUUCCCUCCACCAAAGUUUACUUGGGACCUACUAAGUGCACAGCACAAAAGACUAGCAAAAAUAAUUCCUUUCUUAGGCAUAUAUUUACAUAUAUGUAAAUAAACAAAAUGAUGGAAAAUUUGGGUUUAGCUGAUUUUGAUGACAGCCUUCUGUGAUGGGAAUUUCCCCAGCUCCGGACACCCCGACACACUGGGUAGAAAGCAGAACUGCCUGGGAUUCAUUUGUUUCUCCCAGCAAAGAAAUAGGUGUCUGAGGAUGGGAGGCAUGCUGGGAGCUGAGUGGACACGAGGGUCCCCGGAUUAAGAUUUUGGCAGACAAGAGAACCCCCCAAAGGUCCCUUCCCGUGGCUGAGCCUGGCUUCGAUCUACGUGGGCAAUGAGAUGGUUCUCGGAAUUUUUGAGCAGAUCCUUGGGUGUGCCUUGAGGGUGUGCCUACAAGGGUGUGUGUGUGUUUGUGUGUGUGUGCACUUGUGCAAGAGAGUAGGAGGGUAUAUGUGGACACAUGUCCUGGAGCAAGUGCAUGUGUGUCUCUCUGUGUGUGUAGAUGUGAACAUGUCUCCACAUACAUGGCCUCUGUGUGCCCAAGCCCAUGUGUGUGACCGCUGAAUUAUUAUAAAAUUACACUGACCCUUACAGAAAA